CUUCUCUUCACUCACCCUCCGUGACUCCAUGCUCUAAUCUGCCAAGAAAGAAAGAACAUCAUAAAUUCACGUGAAACAACAACAAGUGAAACACGUGAAACAAUAACAACAAGUGAAACAACAACAACAAGUGAAACAACAACACGUUUUUAUAUUAUCACGUUACCAACAUACAACAGAGGAACAACACGUUUUUAUAUCAUCACGUUACCAACAUACAACAGAGGAACAACAACAAGAUAAAAUCAACGUGAACAAAGACUUAAACCCAAACUUAAACCCAUACUUAAACUAGUUCAACUAAGCUAGUUCAACACAAACUCUUAAACCCAUACUUAAACUAGUUCAACAACUCAGCUAGGAGCUUUUUCACAACAGCAUUUUCGACCUCAUAUAAGGGCUCUUGCUUUGCAAGUAAACGGUCAAGUAUCCGAUUUCUUGAUAGCCUGUCCUUGGAGACCAAGUCUUUUUGUUUUAUUUCCCACAUAGUCUGAACCUGUGACAGCCUUUCCUCCCUCUUGACAUUCUUGUUCUUCCCUUUUGCUGCCUUAACACCCGGGGGGUGCUCCUGCUCAACAGCGUGUGAAGUCUCAGACUGUGAACCCUCGUCUAACUUCCUCCUUUUACAGCUUCCUUCGUUUUUAGAUGUAGCAGUGGCACACCAUUUUUGAUCAUUCCGAAGCUCCUUCCAAGCGUGCUCAAGAAUAAAUUUUUUUCGGUGGUUGGUGAAGAAGAUUUCAUGAUCUCUGUUGAGAACAUCAUUCUCAUUUUGCCCACUUGUUUUCUCUCUGGUUGCUGCUUCGAAAGCCCCACAGAACUUGUUGACUUGAUCAUUGAUCUUGUGCCAACGCUGCUUGCAAUGAGUUGAUUCUCGGUGUUCAGUGGCUGCAACCUUGGGACUUGCCGCAAAGUAAGCGGCGAUCCUAUUCCAGAAUGCCCCAGACCGUUGCUCAUUUCCCACUACUGGAUCCUUGCUUGUGUUGAGCCAGGAUCUGAUGAGCACCGUAUCUUCUACAUGCGUCCACAUCCGGCGUUCCUUACGCUCAGCAGGAGUGUCUUCAGGGACAGUUUCUUCAACUAAACUAAAGACGCUUUGUUGACUCGUAAGGAGAUCAACAAGGUUACUACCAUGCCGGUAUGGAUUGGAAUCCAUCCCCAAGAAUGUCACAGAAAGAAAGGAAAAAAGAAGAGAGUACAACAGAUAUAAGGAAGACAAGAAGAAGCAAUGUUGAUGCCAGAAGAGAGAAAGCAAAGAACGCUAUUUUAAAGGGAAAAAACUAUUAAAUGGACUUGACAUCAACCAAACACAUUCAUCACACUUCAUCACGUUUUCUAUCUAACCAUCAACCUAGCCAUUACACCUAUUUAUUACUAACCCAACCAUUAACUACCUAACUCAACAUUAAAGCACUCAAUAAAUUCGAAAGGAGUAGACAUUUACCUGUAUUGCUCUGCUUUGCACUCCUCUAGUUCGCGGUUCCUUCUUCUUGUACCUUCGAGCCACGCACUCUGACACAAACACACAAACAAGACGUAAAAACUUCAUCAAUGACUUUGAGGAACACAAACAAGCAAAGUACUACUCAGAACUUAUUUAAAACGAUUUCAUCAGUAACUUUUAACAAAUCAAGUUAGAUCAAUCCAUCUAUAUUGAAUCAAUCUUACUAAUAAAUUCAAUUUGAUCCAUGAAAAUUUAAAAUAUUUAAGACUUUGAGGAACAACAGAAACUUGACCUUUGAUUCGAGGAGAAGAAAAGUGAGAGAGCUCUGUCACCACCGAGAGACAUCUUCAUCACCGUUGAGGACAGAGACGGUGCCGUCGAGGAGAGCUCCGUCGCUGACGAGGACAAAGACGGCCUUGUCGAGGAGAGUUCCGUCGCCACAUAGCUCGCCAAUUCGAACCGAACAAA
rnacentral:lncRNA from 1 species